rnacentral:rRNA from 1 species
UACGUAGGUGGCAAGCGUUGUCCGGAUUUACUGGGCGUAAAGAAUGCGUAGGCGGAUAUUUAAGUGGGAUGUGAAAUACCCGGGCUCAACUUGGGUGCUGCAUUCCAAACUGGAUAUCUAGAGUGCGGGAGAGGAGAGUGGAAUUCCUAGUGUAGCGGUGAAAUGCGCAGAUAUCAGGAGGAACACCGGUGGCGAAGGCGGGACUCUGGGCCGAUACUGACGCUGAGGAGCGAAAGCGUGGGGAGCAAACAGG